rnacentral:rRNA from 1 species
UACGAAGGGGGCUAGCGUUGCUCGGAAUCACUGGGCGUAAAGGGUGCGUAGGUGGGUCUGUAAGUCAGUGGUGAAACUCCCCGAGCUUAACUUGGGAACUGCCGUUGAUACUAUAGAUCUUGAAUAUCGUGGAGGUAAGCGGAAUAUGUCAUGUAGCGGUGAAAUGCUUAGAUAUGACAUAGAACACCAAUUGCGAAGGCAGCUUACUACACGAUCAUUGACACUGAGGCACGAAAGCGUGGGGAGCAAACAGG